ensembl:lncRNA
CUUAUGCCCCACCCCCUUGGUAACACAAUUUGCAUAGCCCCGCCCAUUAUUUAAGCCCCGCCCCUUACCAUGGCCGCCCGUCCAAAAGUGGGAGGAGCAACAGCGACAGCAACAGCCCCGCCCCGUUCACCAGCGUCUCCUGCCCAGUACAAACCAGUAUAAACCAGUACAAACCAGUACAAACCAGUAUAAACCAGUACAAACCAGUAUGGACCAGUACAAACCAGUAUGGACCAGUAUAAACCAGUACAAACCAGUACAAACCAGUACAAACCAGUAUGCCCUCCUUGGCGGCCAUUUUAGAUAACUCACUUGGCAGCAGCCAUCUUGGAUUCCAUUAUUUGGCCGCCAUCUUGGAUUGCUAGCUCAUUUACCACUCCAAACCCGUACAAACCAGUACAAACCAGUAUAAACCAGUAAAAACCAGUAUGGACUUGUAUCGACUUGUAUGGACCCGUAUAAACCAGUAUAAACCAGUAAAAACCAAUAUGCAAUCCUUGGCGGCCAUCUUGGAUAAUCCACUUGGCGGCCAUUUUGGAUUGGGAGCUCUCUUAGUGAUAUAAACCAGUACAAACCAGUAUAAACCAGUAUGGACUGUCCUGAUCCCCUCCCAGUCCCCUCCCAGUAUAAACCAGUGCUCCCAGUCCCAUCCUUGGUGGCCAUCUUGGAUUACGUCAUUUGGCCGCCAUCUUGGAUUGAUAGCUCAUGUACCACUCUAAACCAGUACGAACCAGUACAAACCAGUAUAAACUCAUCCCAGUCCCCUCCCAGUGCCCUCCCAGUCCAUCCCAGUUUAUCCCAGUCCAUUCCCAGUUUAUCCCAGUCCGUCCCAGUUCCCUUCCAUUCCCUCCCAGUCCAUCCCAGUUCCCUCCCAGUUUAUCCCAGUCCCUCCCAGUCCGUCCCAGUUCCCUCCCAGUUCCCUCCCAGUCCCACCCUGGCCGCGGCCGCCAUGACCAGGAGGGCGGGGCCAAAGCUCAGCCAAUAGGGAGCGAGGAUUUCCAGCACCAGGGCGACGUCAUUGAGGAGAUCGGCCACGAACCUGGGAGAAAGGGGCGGGGCUUGUCCUUAUUCGGAGUUGUGGGCGUGGCCUGCCCAUAAAUGGCCACAGAAGGGCGGGGCUUGGGGAUUUGGCACCAUAUAUGGUAAUAGAGGGGUGGGGCAUAGGUGGGAGUGGCCAAAUAUGGAAAAAGGGGCGGAGAUUGAGGUGAGGGUGGGGCGUAAUGCCCUAUAUGACAAGGGUGGGGGCGUGGCCUGU